GCCUAUCUAUCGCAGUGGUUAGAACUGCUGCCUCACAAUAAGGAGGUUCUGGGUUCGAGCCCCAGUGGGCC